GGGCGCGUGGCUCAGUUGGUUAGAGCGUUCGCUUCACACGCGAGAGGUCGCAGGUUCGAGUCCUGCCGCGCCCA
rnacentral:tRNA from 1 species